rnacentral:rRNA from 1 species
UACUAUGGAGAGUUUGAUCCUGGCUCAGGAUGAACGCUAGCGGCAGGCUUAAUACAUGCAAGUCGAGGGGCAGCACGGGUAGCAAUACCUGGUGGCGACCGGCGCACGGGUGCGUAACGCGUAUGUAAUCUACCAUUAACCGGGGAAUAGCCCAGAGAAAUCUGGAUUAAUGCCCCAUAGUAUUAUCGAAAGGCAUCUUUUGAUAAUUAAAGCUCAGGCGGUUUUUGAUGAACAUGCGUGUCAUUAGUUUGUUGGUGAGGUAACGGCUCACCAAGACUACGAUGACUAGGGGGUCUGAGANNACACGGACCAGACUCCUACGGGAGGCAGCAGUAAGGAAUAUUGGGCAAUGGAGGCAACUCUGACCCAGCCAUGCCGCGUGAAGGAUUGACGGCCCUCUGGGUUGUAAACUUCUUUUGUACGGGAAUAACCCUCCGAACGUGUUCGGAGCUGAAGGUACCGUAAGAAUAAGGAUCGGCUAACUCCGUGCCAGCAGCCGCGGUAAUACGGAGGAUCCAAGCGUUAUCCGGAUUUACUGGGUUUAAAGGGUGCGUAGGCGGAUUGAUAAGUCAGUGGUGAAAGCCUGCAGCUUAACUGCAGAACUGCCAUUGAUACUGCCAGUCUGGAGUAUGGUUGAGGUAGCUGGAAUGUGUCAUGUAGCGGUGAAAUGCUUAGAGAUGACACAGAACACCGACGGCGAAGGCAGGUUACCAACCCAUUACUGACGCUGAGGCACGAAAGCGUGGGGAUCAAACAGGAUUAGAUACCCUGGUAGUCCACGCNNACGGGGGCCCGCACAAGCGGAGGAGCAUGUGGUUUAAUUCGAUGAUACGCGAGGAACCUUACCUGGGCUCGAACGUAUAGGGAAUUAUGCCGAAAGGUAUAAGCCAGCAAUGGCCGUAUACGAGGUGCUGCAUGGUUGUCGUCAGCUCGUGCCGUGAGGUGUUAGGUUAAGUCCUGCAACGAGCGCAACCCUUAC